UACGGGGGGGGCAAGCGUUGUUCGGAAUUACUGGGCGUAAAGGGCUCGUAGGCGGCCAACUAAGUCAGACGUGAAAUCCCUCGGCUUAACCGGGGAACUGCAUCUGAUACUGGAUGGCUUGAGAUUGGGAGAGAGAUGCGGAAUUCCAGGUGUAGCGGUGAAAUGCGUAGAUAUCUGGAGGAACACCGGUGGCGAAGGCGGCAUCCUGGACCAACACUGACGCUGAGGAGCGAAAGCCAGGGGAGCAAACGGG
rnacentral:rRNA from 1 species